UACAGAGGUCCCGAGCGUUACUGAGAUUCACUGGGUUUAAAGGGUGCGUAGGUGGUCCGUUAAGUCAGUUGUGAAAUCCCCGGGCUCAACCCGGGAACUGCUUCUGAUACUGGCGGACUUGAGGCCUGUAGGGGUUACUAGAACAGACGGUGGAGCGGUGAAAUGCGUAGAUAUCGUCUGGAAUGCCUGUGGUGAAGACGGGUAACUGGGCAGGUUCUGACACUGAGGCACGAAAGCGUGGGGAGCGAACGGG
rnacentral:rRNA from 1 species